CCCUACGGGGGGCAGCAGUAGGGAAUUUUCGUCAAUGGGCGCAAGCCUGAACGAGCAAUGCCGCGUGAACGAGGAAGGUCUUCGGAUCGUAAAGUUCUGUUGACGGGGAAAAAAGACCGGGAAAGGAAAUGAUCCCGGAGGAGAUAUUACCCGUCGAGGAAGUCACGGCUAACUACGUGCCAGCAGCCGCGGUAAUACGUAGGUGGCAAGCGUUAUCCGGAAUGAUUGGGCGUAAAGGGUGCGCAGGCGGCGUGGCAAGUCUGAAGUGAAAGGUACGGGCUCAACCUGUACAGGCUUUGGAAACU
rnacentral:rRNA from 1 species